AGGACGAACGCUGGCGGCGUGCUUAACACAUGCAAGUCGAGCGGAAAGGCCCUUCGGGGUACUCGAGCGGCGAACGGGUGAGUAACACGUGAGUAAUCUGCCCCUAGCUCUGGGAUAGCUCCGGGAAACCGGGAUUAAUACCAGAUACGACCACUUUAAACAUCUGCUGUGGUGGAAAGAAUUUCGGCUAGGGAUGAGCUCGCGGCCUAUCAGCUUGUUGGUGAGGUAACGGCUCACCAAGGCGACGACGGGUA
rnacentral:rRNA from 1 species